UGUGGAUCAUAUUUGCUCGUGACAUGGUGAUUCAAUUGAAGGAAGAAUUGAUCAUGAACUCGUUCAAGACAAUUGAUGGUAGGGGAGCCAGCGUGCACAUUGCCGGUGGUCCAUGCAUCACUAUACAGUAUGUGACAAAUAUUAUUAUCCAUGGGAUAAAUAUUCAUGAUUGUAAGCAAGGAGGGAAUGCUAAUGUGAGGAGCUCCCCGUCGCACUACGGGUGGAGGACCUUAUCGGACGGUGAUGGGGUGAGUAUUUUUGGUGGAAGCCAUGUUUGGGUGGACCAUUGCUCCUUGUCCAACUGCAGAGAUGGCUUGGUUGAUGCAAUUCAAGGGUCAACAGCUAUAACAAUAUCCAACAAUUUUUUUACCCACCAUGAUAAAGUUAUGCUCCUGGGAGCAAGUGAUACUUAUGAGCAAGACAAGAACAUGCAAGUCACUAUUGCCUUUAAUCACUUUGGAGAAGGGCUUGUUCAAAGAAUGCCUAGGUAAAUUAACAAAAAGUCAGAAGCCUGAAAUCAUUUUCUUUUUUGAAGACUUUUUUUGAAUCUAAUUUGCUUAUUGUUUCUUGGUUGGUUUCUUGCAGGUGCAGGCAUGGCUACUUUCAUGUUGUAAAUAAUGACUACACUCACUGGGAAAUGUAUGCUAUUGGAGGGAGUGCAGCACCUACAAUCAACAGCCAAGGAAACAGAUUUCUUGCCCCUGAUGACAGGUUCAAUAAAGAGGUAUAUAUAUAUUAUUAUUUAGGUUCAUUUACAAAUUUUUUGAAAAAAAAGAGGAACAAAUAAAAGAGCUAAAUAGAUAUAGAACAAACAUAUAUAUAUAGUACGUGUGAAAGGUUUCCCAAGUGUUGGAAAUCUAGUUUUAUUGUACUUUUUCAUUUUAACUUAUUGAUUGAUAAAGUCUUUGUUCAAUCACCUUUCAACACUCUUACUUCGUUUUCAAAAGUUAACAUCAUUGAACAUUAGGGUCAAGCAUCACCGCAGGAUCAGCACAUGCAAGCAUUAACUAAAAUAACUAUUUUCUCCUCCAAAACUUCUAGAAUUGUAUUUUUUUCUUGUAGCUUUUCCCUUUUCCUCAAUCAAGUGCAGCCAUAGGGGACUCGCAAGGGGCCGACAAACCAAUCCAUGAUUAGAUCAAUGUAACCGAAAUACUUGUAAUGGUAGUUUAACUUGGACGUAUGGAUUUCUCUAACGAGUACUUACUUUGUUAGUAUGCAUCAAAAUGGAUGGAUGCAGUUUAAGGGUUAGUUCUUUAUUAUUAUUAUUAUUAUUAAAAAUACGUCAAAUCGAGACAGUAUAUAAACGUAACGAUCUCGUCUUACUUUUCUAAGUGACAAAAUUCUUACUAGCAAUUAACAUAAAUUGUUGCAUUAUUAUGAACAGGUGACUAAAUAUGAGGAUGCACCGGAGAGUGAGUGGAAGAGUUGGAACUGGAGAUCAGAAGGAGACCUGAUGCUUAAUGGUGCAUUUUUCACACAAGCAGGAGCCAGUGCUUCAUCAAGUUAUGCAAGGGCAUCAAGUUUGAGCGCCAGGCCAUCUACACUUGUGAGUGCCCUCACCUCGGGUGCUGGC
rnacentral:lncRNA from 1 species